rnacentral:rRNA from 1 species
UACGAAGGGGGCUAGCGUUGCUCGGAAUCACUGGGCGUAAAGCGCACGUAGGCGGCUUUCUAAGUCAGGGGUGAAAUCCUGGGGGCUCAACUCCAGAACUGCCUUUGAUACUGGAGUGCUUGAGUCCGGGAGAGGUGAGUGGAACUCCGAGUGUAGAGGUGAAAUUCGUAGAUAUUCGCAAGAACACCAGUGGCGAAGGCGGCUCACUGGCCCGAUACUGACGCUGAGGCACGGAAAGCGUGGGGAGCAAACAGG